rnacentral:rRNA from 1 species
UACGAAGGGGGCUAGCGUUGCUCGGAAUUACUGGGCGUAAAGGGUGCGUAGGCGGGUCUUUAAGUCAGAGGUGAAAUCCUGGAGCUCAACUCCAGAACUCGCCUUUGAUACUGAGGAUCUUGAGUUCGGGAGAGGUGAGUGGAACUGCGAGUGUAGAGGUGAAAUUCGUAGAUAUUCGCAAGAACACCAGUGGCGAAGGCGGCUCACUGGCCCGAUACUGACGCUGAGGCACGAAAGCGUGGGGAGCAAACAGGG